AACGAUCUCAGCCAAAACCAAAAUCACCACCCAUACUCCGUCGUCCGCCGUCAUCGUCCACCACAAGUUCCAGCAACCCUCCCCGAAUCUUGUUAUCACCAGAUUCCUCCGUUAACAAUUGGCGCUAGAAGGAGGGGCUUUUUGACAUCUAUUGGAGGAAGGAUGUCACAUGAGACGAAGCACGACGCUGUCAAUCUAAGAAAGGGAAGGAAGACCUCGGAGACUCCGGCUACCAAUCAGCUACCGUCGCCUCCCUUGACGUCCGGAACCAGCUAUCCAGAACAUCUUGAAGGAAAGGAUAUUCAGAGGACAUGGAGCGCUGGACAUCAGCAUUAUUAUCAGGAAAGUUCAUAUUCUCCUUCUCUAAAUUUGUGGUUAUAUUUUCUAUUUUGAUAUUUGCGUAAUAGUCCUGGAAUCGAUGAGAUCACUCCCAAGACUCGGGGGUAGCAAUGGUACGUUCCCUCCGACCACACUAUCAUGUAAGCAUGCUAUUGACAACAAAUUUAGAACCUUUUGUGUAUCUUUUUUCGAAUCUAUAUAUUUGUGUCUUGUUUGGAGCGUGAAGACCAGGGACAACCUCCCUGCUGCUUUGGAAUUCGUCUUCAUGUGUAAUCGAGGCACAUGUUUGACACCCUCGGGAUGCCUGGACAACCAUCUUCAUAAGAUGGUUCGAAAGAAUUCCUAUGCCCUGGUGGCCCGUACUUCCGGUAAACCAUCAGGAAGACCCUCAGGGGUGCAGCUUUGGAAAACCCUCAGGGGUUGGAGUUUUUAUUCGAAAAUAUUUUUUAUUUGUUCGUCCCCAAGUGCGGUGGAGGGCGACGACCCACCUACUUGGAUGCCUGGGAUCUAAGUGGAUGAUGUCCCUACUGUCCCAGAGGUUUAUGUUCCCCAAGUGUGGUGGAGGGCGACGACCCACCUACUUGGAUGCUUGGAAUCUAAGUGGAUGAUUUCCCUACUGUUCCAGAGGUUGUUUUUCCCCAAGUGUGGUGGAGGGAAACGACCCACCUACUUGGAUGCCUAGGAUCUAAGUGGAUGAUGUCCCUACUGUCCUAGAUGCCUGGGAUUUAAGUAGAUGAUUUCCCUACUGUCCCGGAGGUUGAUCGUCCCCAAGUGCGGUGGAGGGCGACGACUCACCUACUUAGAUGCCUAGGAUUUAAGUAGAUGAUGUCCCUACUGUCCUAGAUGCCUGGGAUUUAAGUAGAUGAUUUCCCUACUGUCCCGGAGGUUGAUCGUCCCCAAGUGCGGUAGAGGGCGACGACCCACCUACUUGGAUGCCUAGGAUUUAAGUGGAUGAUGUCCCUACUGUCCUAGAUGCCUGGGAUUUAAGUAGAUGAUUUCCCUACUGUCCCGGAGGUUGUUUGUCCCCAAGUGCGGUGGAGGGCGACGACCCACCUACUUGGAUGCCUAGGAUUUAAGUGGAUGAUGUCCAUACUGUCCUAGAUGCCUGGGAUUUAAGUAGAUGAUUUCCCUACUGUCCCGGAGGAUGUUUGUCCCCAAGUGCGGUGGAGAGCGACGACCCACCUACUUGGAUGCCUAGGAUCUAAGUUGAUGAUGUCCCUACUGUCCUAGAUGCCUGGAAUUUAAGUAGAUGAUUUCCCUACUGUCCUAGAUGCCUGGGAUUUAAGUAGAUGAUUUCCCUACUGUCCCGGAGGUUGUUCGUCCCCAAGUGCGGUGGAGAGCGACUACCCACCUACUUGGACGCCUGGGAUCAAGUGGAUGAUGUCCCUACUGUCCCAGAGGUUUAUGUUCCCCAAGUGCGGUGGAGAGCGACGACCCACCUACUUGGAUGCCUAGGAUCUAAGUGGAUGAUGUCCCUACUGUCCUAGAUGCCUGGGAUUUAAGUAGAUGAUUUCCCUACUGUCCCGGAGGUUGUUCGUCCCCAAGUAAGGUGGAGGGCGAUGACCCACCUUCUUGGAUGCUUAGGAUUUAAGUAGAUGUUGUCCCUACUGUCCUGGAUGCCUGGGAUUCAAGUAGAUGAUGUCCCUACUGUCCUGGAUGCCUGGGAUUUAAGUAGACGAGGUCCCUACUGUCCCGGAGGAGGUACGUCUGAACUCUUUGUAUUCUGAACUCGUUUUCAGCGAAAGGUCGCGACUCUUCAAGGGAAGCCGACCGUUGAGUAGCUCGGAGAAGCUUUGAAACGAAGAAGAAGAACCUCGCCCCCUGCUACAGGCGAGGACAAAGGAAAAGACGAAGUAAGUAAGCAAGAAUAAGACGCAAAGACCAGAGGCACAGUCCUCGCCCGUUGAAGAGUCCUCGCCCUGAAUGCUAGCGAAGCAAUGUUCGGAUGCAUGAGGACGGCGACUGCAUAUGAGAACAAGGGAGAACUUCACCUUUUGCUAAAGGCGAGGACGAGGACACUCGGAUAAGGGAGAUGCGUGAAGUGAAAAUGAAAGUAAACAAGGGGAAGGACAGUCCUCGCCCUCUUAGAUUUCACGAGAAAGA
rnacentral:lncRNA from 1 species